ACUGGGCAUGGUGGCAUAUGCCUGUAAUCUCAGCAGCUCAGGAGGUUGAGGUGGGAGGAUCGCAAGUUCAAGGCCAGCCUCAGCAACUUAGCAAGGUCUUAAGCAACUCAUUGAGACCCUAUCUCUA
rnacentral:sRNA from 1 species